CCUUUUUGGCUCUCUAGUCACCGAGGACUGUAAAGAAUAAAAUAUGAAGGCAUACCUGCAACAACAUGCACUUUCGCUGAUGGUUUCCAAAGGAAUCGUUCCCCAGAGCUCCUGAACAUAAAAAACCCCUAACGCCUCUUCCCCACCCCAAAACAAAGAAUAUUUUUUUGUGUCCGUGUAACCACAUCAGCGUUCACUUUCGCUCCCCGAGUACCUGCCCAGCUGACAGCCGAGCGCCGCGCCGUGCCGUGCCGUGCCCCCGCGGCUCUUCAUCAGAGGGGAGACAUGGCAGCGGUGCAGCUCGGGGAUCCACAGCCACACGGCUGCGGAGCGCACAGGGCCGCCGGGCUCGCCGCUGCCUCUCCCCCAGCCAUGAAUCCCGCCGAAGGGGCGGCGGAGGAAGGCGCUGUCCCUGACUCCGAGGUGGAUGCUUUCUUCCGAACAGCCAACUGUACUUCUAGUGUUGUUCAUUUGUGCACGAGUGACUGGCAGUUCUGCUAUUAAAUACCUUUAAAAUGAUUGGCAUUGGCCAGGCUGUUUGGUCAAAAGAUGUGCUUGAAAUGAUGUCAGCAGAGAAGUGCUCCUCGAGGGUGAUCGACUCAAGUGUCUCCUUGCAGAGCAGGUAAAUUGAUUCAAUGGAGUUGUCACCAGGAGUGAGGUGUGUGUGUGUGAUGCCUGGCUUCCUUACUUUGAGACUUUAUAAUUCAUAAGGCCUGGUCUGCUAAUGUGUACUGAUAAAGGAGGCUCUGUUGUCAGGUCUGUCCUACUGUUUGGAAAGCUCUUGUGUUCUUUGAUGCUUUUAAUCAAAAUCUGUACCACUCUCCCAAGGCUUUGACCUCUGACCCUGUGAGGAAUAUGAAUUUUGUUGUUUUCUUUCUUUAGUGUCUAAUGUAGGUGGUUUUUAUUUUUUCAUGUGACUGACAUGGGGGAGGAGCACAGUUGUUUCC
rnacentral:lncRNA from 13 species